rnacentral:rRNA from 1 species
GACGAACGGCUGGCGGCGUGCUUAACACAUGCAAGUCGAACGGACGAGUGAGAUAAGUUUACUUAACUCACAAGUUAGUGGCGGACGGGUGAGUAACACGUGGAUAAUCUACCUGCAACACCGGGAUAACGCUGUGAAAACGGUGCUAAUACCGGAUACGUUCCCUUGUGCGCAUGUAUGAGGGAAGAAAGCUCAGGCGGUUGCAGAUGAGUCCGCGGCUGAUUAGCUAGUUGGUGAGGUAAAGGCUCACCAAGGCGAUGAUCAGUAGCCGGCCUGAGAGGGUGAACGGCCACACUGGGACUGAGACACGGCCCAGACUCCUACGGGAGGCAGCAGUGGGGAAUCUUCCGCAAUGGGCGCAAGCCUGACGGAGCAACGCCGCGUGGGUGAAGAAGGCCUUCGGGUUGUAAAGCCCUGUCUUAUGGGAAGAAGUCAGUGACGGUACCAUAGGAGGAAGCCACGGCUAACUACGUG